rnacentral:rRNA from 1 species
AGGACGAACGCUGGCGGCGUGCUUAACACAUGCAAGUCGAGCGGAAAGGCCCUUCGGGGUACUCGAGCGGCGAACGGGUGAGUAACACGUGAGCAACCUGCCCCUGGCUCUGGGAUAGCCUCCGGAAACGGGGAUUAAUACCGGACAUGACCUGCUGCCGCAUGGUGGCGGGUGGAAAGUUUUUCGGCCAGGGUGGGGCUCGCGGCCUAUCAGCUUGUUGGGGGGGUGACGGCCCACCAAGGCGACGACGGGUAGCCGGCCUGAGAGGGCGACCGGCCACACUGGGACUGAGACACGGCCCAGACUCCUACGGGAGGCAGCAGUGGGGAAUAUUGCGCAAUGGGGCGGAAGCCUGACGCAGCGACGCCGCGUGCGGGAUGAAGGCCUUCGGGUUGUAACCGCUUUCACCGAGGGACGAAGCGAGAGUGACGGUACGUGGGGAAGAGCGCCGGCUAACUACGCGCCAGCAGCCGC